rnacentral:rRNA from 1 species
GAUGAACGCUGGCGGCGUGCUUAACACAUGCAAGUCGAACGGAAAUAUUAGGUAGGAAUCAGAGAGUUUACUUGAAGAGGAAUUUUUAAUAUUUUAGUGGCGGACGGGUGAGUAACGCGUGGAUAACCUGCCUUAUACUGGGGGAUAACACUUAGAAAUAGGUGCUAAUACCGCAUAAGCGCACAGAACCGCAUGGUUCAGUGUGAAAAACUCUGGUGGUAUAAGAUGGAUCCGCGUCUGAUUAGUUAGUUGGUGAGGUAAUGGCUCACCAAGACAGCGAUCAGUAGCCGGCCUGAGAGGGUGAACGGCCACAUUGGGACUGAGACACGGCCCAAACUCCUACGGGAGGCAGCAGUGGGGAAUAUUGCACAAUGGGGGAAACCCUGAUGCAGCGACGCCGCGUGAGUGAAGAAGUAUUUCGGUACGUAAAGCUCUAUCAGCAAGGAAGAAAAUGACGGUACUUGACUAAGAAGCCCCGGCUAACUACGUGCCAGCAGCCGCGGUAAUAC